UUGCUCUCUUGCCCCUACUUGGCUGCUUUCUUUCUUCUACCUUCCACCCUCAGGGGACAACAAGAAAAUCCUCCUUCUCUGGGACAAAAGGUGCUUAACGAACAAAACAAAACUGGAAAGGAAACGCUGUGUGAGCUGCUACUAUGGGCAAAUGCACAGCAGCGCGUGCAGAGGGGUACAGAGAAGUGUGAUGAAGUUGCCAUCGCUGAGUCACUUACAGUCCUGCUAAUGGAGAAAACUUGGAUAAUUCAGGAAUUACAGAUGAGAAUUUCAGCAUCUUGUGAUUUUGAUGUGUCCCAUUCCUGGAUAUCCUUGAGGUCCUAUUACUUCUGAAGAAAUAGAUGGAAACAGCAGGGGGAGUGAAGGCGUAGCCUGAUUUCUAUAUUUCCUUUGAAGCAUGAAACAUACAUCACACAGGAGAUUUUAAGAAGAAAUAAAUGUAGAAUUAACUGUCAUG
rnacentral:lncRNA from 1 species